ACAGGGUAUUACGGUACAGAGUCAAUGUGGAGGCUAUAUACAGGGGGUACUGGUACAGAGUCAAUGUGGAGGCUAUAUACAGGGGGUACCGAUACAGAGUCAAUGUGGAGGCUAUAUACAGGGGGUACCGGUACAGAGUCAAUGUGGAGGCUAUAUACAGGGGGGUACAGGUACAGAGUCAAUGUGGAGGCUAUAUACAGGGGGUACCGGUACAGAGUCAAUGUGGAGGCUAUAUACAGGGGGUACCGGUACAGAGUCAAUGUGGAGGCUAUAUACAGGGGGUACCGGUACAGAGUCAAUGUGGAGGCUAUAUACAGG
rnacentral:lncRNA from 1 species